rnacentral:miRNA from 1 species
CCAGUUUUCCCAGGAUU